rnacentral:rRNA from 1 species
GUACACGCUGUGACUAGCAUAUCAAUAAGCGGAGGAAAAGAAACUAACAAGGAUUCCCCUAGUAACGGCGAGUGAAGCGGGAAGAGCUCAAAUUUGAAAUCUUAAAGGGUUUCCCUUUACGAAUUGUAGUUUAAAGAAGUGUUUUCUGUUGAGGUUUUGGUAAAAGUUCUUUGGAAUAGGACAUCAUAGAGGGUGAGAAUCCCGUAUUUGACCUUUACUUUCAACUUUGUGAUACACUUUCAAAGAGUCGGAUUGUUUGGGAAUGCAGUCCAAAAUGGGUGGUAAAUUUCAUCUAAAGCUAAAUAUUGGCGAGAGACCGAUAGCGAACAAGUACCGUGAGGGAAAGAUGAAAAGAACUUUGAAAAGAGAGUUAAACAGUACGUGGAAAUUGUCAAAAGGGAAGCGUUUGACACCAGUGUUGUUUUUCUGAAAAUCAAUUAAAGAACUGUUUAUGCUAAGUUGUUUAGACUUUAUCAGCUAACUGUUUAGUUUUGAGCUUUUCUUUAAUGCACUUUUCAGUUAACAAGUCAACAUCAAUUUCUUUUGCUGUAAAAAAGCUUGAGGAAGGUGGCUUGAGAUUCGUCUUAAGUGUUUAUAGCCUCUUGCCUAUGCAGUCGGAGAGAUUGAGGUCUGCAGCGUAGAUCCUUCGGGGCUAAAUGCAUUUGUGCUAAGUUAUAGCAUUUUAUAGACAACUUGUUGACUAUGAUUUGUCUUGUAGCUUACUCGCUUAUGUUAUUUUACCUACGCUUAGGAUGUUGAAGAUGUAGCACAUCAU